ensembl:lncRNA
GUCCAACUGCAGCUUGCAGCAGUCGCUCACGCCAGUCCCCCUGCUCACGCCGCGCCCGCUCACGCCGCGCCCCCGCUGGCACGCAACUUCCGACUUUCAGACAUGUACGGUUUGUUUACAAGACGCAGAUGGACCAUAUUGCCAUAUUGAGUCAUGGCGGCAACAACUCCCGGGAAGCACCUGUGGUACUACAGGAAGGAGAUAAGGCAUACUUAAGAUUGGCUCUUGUGGGUCCACUGACUCCUUCAGGAGACGGGCACAUUUUCAGUGGCUUGACACUAAGUGUUUAAAUAAAGGGUGCUGUGGUAUACAAUACUUGAGUACCUCACGUGUGUUUUCACUAACCUUAUAGAAAUGUUCACUUUUGAUUGAUAAUUUGUUUUUCACAGGUGUCGCUACAUGGAGCAGGUUUUCUGAGUCCUAAAGAAAAUAAUUCUACACCAUGUACUCCAUGGACACCUGUCGUGAAUGUGGAAUGCUUUUCAAAAACUGCACACCUGGUAAACAUCUUAACACUGGAUGGAUUUGAAUCUAUGUCAUUAUACUCAGUAUUGAUGUCAUAACUACGCUUAGACCACAUCCUGAGUCUAGUGGUCACUGGUCAGUAUAAUCAUCAUUCUGUUUUUUCUUUUUCUUUUACAGGAUAUGUUAGAACAGGACAAAGGGGUGUACUUGAAGCAGUUUACUCAGAAGACCCACAUCCAGGUUACUGCGAUCACUUUAGCCACCAAAUGCAAUAGGUAAAAAUAAGGUGUUUGUGUGUAACAAAGGGGUGUGGGGGAAAAAAUAAUUGAAUAUGUAUUUGCUUCAUUUAUUUACUUAUUUUCUCUUUCAGUGAGAACGGACACGUAUACUAACUGUUGGCAGACAACCCUGAGCCAGCUGGGUGUUUUUCAAGCUGCAGGCCCCCGUGACAAUUUGUGGCUGGAAACUUGGGAUUGAAUUUUGAAUUCUCCAGUGUUAUUACAGACUGUUAAUUAAUUGGUUAUGACAAAAAAGAGAUGUCAUAUGUUUAAACAACCUUUGGGUGAACUUUUUGUAUAAUUUUAAAAAUGUUAAAACUAACAUCUAUUGAGAGUCUACUUUAUGCUUUUUUGGUUUUAAUAACAUCCUGUUCAAUGUGGAAUAAAAUUCAAAUCCUCUGAAUAUUGAGUCCAUUUCUGAACACUGGGGAGAUCGUGUGUACAACUGGUGAUCCGGUUUAUUGAAUGCAUUGCACCAAUAUGAUUUCUACCCAGUGCUGUACAUUUAUCAUUUGUUAAUAUAAUAAGACAGACAGUCUGACAUUUCCAUACCCACAGGAUUAAAGGGCCUACAUCUACGUACAGAUACUGAUCAGCAUAAAGUCCUUUGGAAUCACAUGUAAACUGCAGUAGAGGAUUUUUCUUUCAGUGCUUCGACCCAGAGAGAGCCUUCUAGUCCUCUUGUGACCAGCCCACUGUGACAGUACUGUCACAUAGUACAUAACUUACAUCCACAUCCACUUAUUAAGACUUAUUAUUUAUUGUCAUGUGUUUUUGCUUACUUCUAAAUAAAUAGUUUUGUUGUUUGCAGUUCAAUUUAUUAUACAUUAGCAAAUACAAAAACUAAUCCAAUACAACAUGAAC